UGGGGAAUAUUGCGCAAUGGGCGAAAGCCUGACGCAGCAACACCGCGUGAGGGAUGACGGCCUUCGGGUUGUAAACCUCUUUCAGCUCCGACGAAGCGAAAGUGACGGUAGGAGCAGAAGAAGCACCGGCUAACUACGUGCCAGCAGCCGCGGUAAUACGUAGGGUGCAAGCGUUGUCCGGAAUUAUUGGGCGUAAAGAGCUCGUAGGCGGUCCGUUGCGUCUGCCGUGAAAACCCGGAGCUCAACUCCGGGCCUGCGGUGGAUACGGGCGGACUAGAGUCCGGUAGGGGAGACUGGAAUUCCUGGUGUAGCGGUGGAAUGCGCAGAUAUCAGGAGGAACACCGGUGGCGAAGGCGGUCACCUGGGCCAGUACUGACGCUGAGGCGCGAAAGCGUGGGGAGCAAACAGGAUUAGAUACCCUGGUAGUCCACGCCGUAAACGAUGAGCACUCGGUGCCGCGGGUAUCGACCCCUGCGGUGCCUGAGCUAACGCAUUAAGUGCUCCGCCUGGGG
rnacentral:rRNA from 1 species